rnacentral:lncRNA from 1 species
GACGCAUUGAAGAAAAUGUUAAAUUAAAAUUAUUUUAUUUUAUGGUAUCUGGCUGCAUUUUUAAUUGAUAUUUAUAGAUUUCAGGAAAUAUAAAAAUCUCUAGAAUUAUAAGAAACCAUGUGAAGGAAUAUGCAGACCAGAUACCUAGUAAAAAGUAUUAAGCUAGAUGUCUACAAAAUGUUGGUUCCUUAUGUGCUAUGAGACUUAUGCCGGGUUGCAUGAAAAACGUAUUAAUUUAAUGGUUCAAUAAAAUUUAAUAGACAAAUCAUAGGCCACUAAAUCAUGUUAAAGGGACCAUUAGUUUACUAUUGAUUCGUUAAAUGAUUAGUGAUUGUUCAUGCGACCCGGCAAUAAUCGUUCAAUUAUUGGUGUAAAAGUACAAUUCAGUAAAGAUGAUAAGUUAAAAAUUGUGACAUUAGGAAUGACAGCCAACAGGAUUAAACGGAAAAACCUACUUCUAAGUACCUAGUGGUAAUGAUAUAAUCUUGUUUGUUGACAAAAAUAUAAGUUCUUAAAUGUUGUAAUAAAAUGUAAUUAAUUUAGCUUUUUAGUUGAUGAAGAAUUUAAAGAAAUAUGAUAUUUAUAACCGACAAGUAUAUAUUCCAAAACAUGUGACGAUGAAAGAAAUAUUGUAAAAAUGGUUGGAAUAUUCAAUGAUACUAAUGAAGAUGACUUACCCAAUGCAGAUAAUUUACCUCAUGAAGAUGAUUUAUUUACUGAACAUUUUGAGGACAGUAAACAUAUAGGUAGGAAAUUGUCUCUGGAUUUAUAUUUUUUUUUUUUUUUUAAAUUAGUUCAAAAUAUAUUAUAUUAUAUAAUAUAGUUACAAAUUUUAAUAAAAUCGUUGAAUAAAAUCAGACGAUAACACAAUAAUUAUCGCACAUAAAGUGGUUUUAGCAUCUGCUAUACCAUACUUCCAUGCUAUGUUCACCAACUUUUCAGAAAUAAAUCAUGAUGUUGUUGUUAUGAAAGAGAUAGAUUCAACCGCUUUACCUACAGCUGUUGGUAAACUUUGUUUAUUUGGGAAGAAUUAUGAUCACUGAAGAUAACGUCCAAGAUUUGUUACCAGUGACAAAUAUCUUGCAGUUACAAGAAGUAAAAUAUGUAUGUUGUGAUUUUUUAUAGUCACAACUGUGCCCCACAAAUUGUAUCACCGCAUACGAAAUAGCCGAACAGCUAUAUCUCUUCGAAAUUGUUAAAAAGUUCAGAGUUACAUAUUCAACAACACUUUUCGUACCUAUAUAAUAUAAUUUAUUACUAUGAUUCUAUAAGGACAUUUUAUAUUUUAUUAUCGUUGUAUUUUGAUUUUUAGAGAAGCUGUUGGUGGUGACGAAUUCCUAUCGUUAUCAUCGGAACAAUUAAUUCAGUUGAUCGCAAGUGAUAAACGUACAGUUCCAUCUGAAGAAAAAGUAUUUGAAAGUGUUAUUCGUUAGGUGAAAUAUGAAUCAGGUUCAAGAAAGCGUAUUUUACCCCAAUUAAUGGAACACGUACGUUUGCCAUUAACAUCAAUGGAUUUCUUAUUAAAAAAAAGUUGCUGUAGAACCUCUUAUAAAGAAUUGUUAUAAAUGUAGAGAUUACAUAAACGAGGCAUUCAAUUUUCAUAGACAGUAGUCAAAAGACCUGAUUCCACAUAACAUCCGGAUUAAUCCUAGACAUGGAGAUAAAGUUAUCUUAGUUGUUAGUAGAUUUGAUACUAAUGAAUGUAUCAGUACAAAAUUUUACGAGCCAAAAUUAAGCCGAUGGAAUAAUGGACCUGAAAUGAUAACAAACCGUAAAAAUGCU